rnacentral:rRNA from 1 species
AACGAACGCUGGCGGCAUGCCUAACACAUGCAAGUCGAACGAGAUCUUCGGGUCUAGUGGCGCACGGGUGCGUAACGCGUGGGAAUCUGCCCUUUGGUUCGGAAUAACAGUUGGAAACGACUGCUAAUGCCGGAUGAUGACGAAAGUCCAAAGAUUUAUCGCCAGAGGAUGAGCCCGCGUAGGAUUAGCUAGUUGGUGUGGUAAAGGCGCACCAAGGCGACGAUCCUUAGCUGGUCUGAGAGGAUGAUCAGCCACACUGGAACUGAGACACGGCCCAGACUACUACGGGAGGCAGCAGUGGGGAAUAUUGGACAAUGGGCGAAAGCCUGAUCCAGCAAUGCCGCGUGAGUGAUGAAGGCCUUAGGGUUGUAAAGCUCUUUUACCCGGGAUGAUAAUGACAGUACCGGGAGAAUAAGCUCCGGCUAACUCCGUGCCAGCCGCCGCGGUAA